AUGGCAGGACCACCUUCUUUACCUGUUCCAAUUCCUCUGAUCCCAAGAUCUCUAGUCAGGAUCAGACAGAGGUUGUCAGCAAUCCUCAUAGCACCCUUCUGGCCAUGUCAACCAUUUUUUUUCUACUCUGGAGGAGUUAGCCACCAAGAUGUUCAGACUUCCACCAGUGCCACAUCUGCUGAUGCAGGAUUCGGGGAGUGUUCUACAUCCAGACCUCAACUCUUUCCACCUAGCUGCGUGGAAGAUCUGCCUGAAAUCAAAGAGGCGUUAGACAAAUACAAAAAACCAUCUACUAUCCUUUUAUACAAAUGGAAUAAUUUUCUUCGUUUUGCCACUGCCAGAAACCUCCAGACUUCUCCAGUUUCCCUACAGACUUUACUCCUAUAUCUCAAACAUCUUUUUGAUCUCGAACUUACCUUGUCGACUCUCAAGGUGUACAUCUCUGCAAUAGUUUCUUUCCAGCCCAGAGACUCAGAAUCUUCACGUCUCUUCUCUCAUCCCACAUUAAAAGCAUUCUUAAAGGGACUAAUCAACCUUUGCCCUCCUACACAGCCUCCAGUACCUCAAUGGUCCCUUACACUGGUUCUGCAAUCACUCACGAAGCAUCCCUUUGAGCCUAUGGCUUCGCGUGAUGUUAAAUUUCUUUCUUUACAGACUCUGUUUCUAGUUGCAGUUACGUCUGCUAGAAGAGCAAGUGAGUUGGCAGCUCUAAGGUCUGAUUCUCGUUACUUGCAAUUCUAUAAGGACAAGGUUAUGCUGUUUCCGGAUGUUUCGUUCCUACCUAAAGUUGUUACAGAUUUUCACCUCAACCAACCAGUUUCGUUACCUACCUUGUUUUCUGAUCCUUCAUCUGAUGUUGAAAAGACGCUCCAUUCCCUGGAUGUUAGAAGGGCGUUAGCAUAUUACGUUUCCAGGAGAAAGGACUUUCGGAAAUCUGAAAGACUCUUCCUGUGCUUCUUUGGACCACACAAGGGUUGUCCAGUGUCAUCUUCUACCUUGUCACAGUGGCUUGUCUCCACUAUUACUCUUGCCUAUCAAGUAAAGAUGUGCCUGAAGGUCUUAAAGGACAUUCCACAAGGUCCAUGGCAACAUCUACUGCCUUACUACAUGGUGUGGACAUUCCAGACAUCUGCAGGGCAGCAACAUGGUCCAGAGUGUCCACAUUUGUCACCCACUACAGGUUGGACCUUCAGGCAAAGGUGA
rnacentral:lncRNA from 1 species